rnacentral:rRNA from 1 species
UACGUAGGGCGCAAGCAUUAGUCGGAUUUACUGGGCGUAAAGGGUGCGUAGGCGGGGAAGAAAGUUAGGUGUGAAAUUUCAGGGCUCAACUCUGAAGCGGCAUCUAAUACUCCUUCUCUAGAGGAUAGGAGGGGAAAGGGGAAUUCCACAUGUAGCGGUGAAAUGCGUAGAUAUGUGGAGGAACACCGGUGGCGAAGGCGCCUUUCUGGCCUAUUCCUGACGCUGAGAGCACGAAAGCAAGGGGAGCAAACAGG